AUUGAACGCUGGCGGCAGGCCUAACACAUGCAAGUCGAGCGGAUGAGAGAAGCUUGCUUCUCGAUUCAGCGGCGGACGGGUGAGUAAUGCCUAGGAAUCUGCCUGGUAGUGGGGGACAACGUUUCGAAAGGAACGCUAAUACCGCAUACGUCCUACGGGAGAAAGCAGGGGACCUUCGGGCCCUGCGCUAUCAGAUGAGCCUAGGUCGGAUUAGCUAGUUGGUGAGGUAAUGGCUCACCAAGGCGACGAUCCGUAACUGGUCUGAGAGGAUGAUCAGUCACACUGGAACUGAGACACGGUCCAGACUCCUACGGGAGGCAGCAGUGGGGAAUAUUGGACAAUGGGCGAAAGCCUGAUCCAGCCAUGCCGCGUGUGUGAAGAAGGUCUUCGGAUUGUAAAGCACUUUAAGUUAGGAGGAAGGGUUGUAGAUUAAUACUCUGCAAUUUUGACGUUACCGACAGAAUAAGCACCGGCUAACUCUGUGCCAGCCGCCGCCGUAAGAC
rnacentral:rRNA from 1 species